GGACCCGCACAAGCGGUGGAUGAUGUGGAUUAAUUCGAUGCAACGCGAAAAACCUUACCUACCCUUGACAUGGCAGGAAUCCUGGAGAGAUCUGGGAGUGCUCGAAAGAGAACCUGCACACAGGUGCUGCAUGGCUGUCGUCAGCUCGUGUCGUGAGAUGUUGGGUUAAGUCCCGCAACGAGCGCAACCCUUGUCAUUAGUUGCUACGCAAGAGCACUCUAAUGAGACUGCCGGUGACAAACCGGAGGAAGGUGGGGAUGACGUCAAGUCCUCAUGGCCCUUAUGGGUAGGGCUUCACACGUCAUACAAUGGUACAUACAGAGGGCCGCCAACCCGCGAGGGGGAGCUAAUCCCAGAAAGUGUAUCGUAGUCCGGAUUGUAGUCUGCAACUCGACUACAUGAAGUUGGAAUCGCUAGUAAUCGCGGAUCAGCAUGUCGCGGUGAAUACGUUCCCGGGUCUU
rnacentral:rRNA from 1 species